GAGGUGCCUGGAAAACCCUAGCUCUUGGCUAUCUCUUCCCUGAGCACACCCUGGCCCUGGGGCCUGAGAUUUCUCCAUGCAGGGGCAGCCAUGAGCUCCGGGGGCAGCAAGGCUGGCCACACCACCCGCCCCGCCACCUCCGGCCCCGCCGCUCAACCAGCCAUCAGUCCCUUAACUGCCAGUGUUCGUGGACUAUGCAAAACAACCAAGCAAGGGACUCAUUAAGCCCAAAGCAAUUUUAGGGUGCCCAGUAGAGAGACUCACAGAGGCUGCUAGUGCCGAUGCUGCUGGUGCUACUGCUGAGGAGUGCCCAGGACUGGGAGCCAGGGGAGUUGGAGUCAAUAACCAUCACUGUCAGUUCUGCCGCCCGCCCAAGCCAGUUUCUCCAGUGAGCAGAUCCCAGCCAGCCUAGAAACAGGCUCACAGUUUUCCAUGGAGGGCUUGGAUAAUAAACUGAUUCUGGAUGUUGGCGGCAUACGCCACCUGAUCUACAUCAGCACCAUGAGGGCCUUUCCAGGAGGUGGAAGUCCAGCUGGAUUACUUCUCUGGCAACUUCACUACUAUGGAACAUGGGAUGGGAGUGGGGGAAAACCAGCAGCAGCAGUAGCAGCAGAACAACGGUUUUGUUUACCGCCGUGCCCCACAUCUGCUAUACCUGGAGCUGCUCUGUCCCCUUUGGUUUGGAACUGACCUCUUUGCCUGGAC